rnacentral:rRNA from 1 species
AUUGAACGCUGCUGGUGUGCUUAACACAUGCAAGUCGAACGAACCUUCGCGUUAGUGGCGGACGGGUGAGUAACGCGUGAGAAUCUGCCCUCAGGAGGGGGAUAACGGGUGGAAACGGCCGCUAAUACCCCAUAUGCCGAGAGGUGAAAUGAAUUUCGCCUGAGGAUGAGCUCGCGUCUGAUUAGCUAGUUGGUGUGGUAAAGGCUCACCAAGGCAUCGAUCAGUAGCUGGUCUGAGAGGAUGAUCAGCCACACUGGGACUGAGACACGGCCCAGACUCCUACGGGAGGCAGCAGUGGGGAAUUUUCCGCAAUGGGCGCAAGCCUGACGGAGCAACGCCGCGUGAGGGAUGAAGGCCUCUGGGCUGUAAACCUCUUUUAUCAAGGAAGAAGAUCUGACGGUACUUGAUGAAUAAGCCACGGCUAAUUCCGUGCCAGCAGCCGCGGUAAUACGGGAGUGGCAAGCGUUAUCCGGAAUUAUUGGGCGUAAAGCGUCCUGAGGUGGCUUACCCAGUCGACUGUGAAAGCUCAAGGCUUAACCUUGAAACGGCAGUCGAAACUUGUAAGCUUGAGUACGGUAGGGGCAGAGGGAAUUCCCGGAGGAGAGGUGAAAUUCGUAGAUAUCNGGAGGAAGGCCAAAGGCGAUAGCACUCUGCUGGGCUGAUUACUGACACUGACAGACGAAAGCUAGGGGAGCGAAAGGGAUAGAUACCCCUGUAGUCCUAGCCGUAA